AUUGAACGCUGGCGGCGUGCCUAACACAUGCAAGUCGAGCGGUAACAGGUGUAGCAAUACAUGCUGACGAGCGGCGAACGGGUGAGUAAUGCUUCGGAAUCUACCUUAUGGUGGGGAAUAACUAGCCGAAAGGUUAGCUAAUACCGCAUACGUCCUACGGGAGAAAGCAGGGGAUCGCAAGACCUUGCGCCAAAAGAUUAGCCGAAGUCGGAUUAGCUAGUUGGUAGGGUAACGGCCUACCAAGGCGACGAUCCGUAGCUGGUCUGAGAGGACGACCAGCCACACUGGGACUGAGACACGGCCCAGACUCCUACGGGAGGCAGCAGUGGGGAAUAUUGGACAAUGGGGGAAACCCUGAUCCAGCGACGCCGCGUGUGUGAAGAAGGCCUGCGGGUUGUAAAGCACUUUUAGUGGGGAUGAUAUGUGCAGGGUUAAUACCUCUGCAUUUUGACCUAACCCACAGAAAAAGCACCGGCUAACUCUGUGCCAGCCGCCGCCGUAA
rnacentral:rRNA from 1 species